CCUAAGACAUAUAUUGUAUUGUUACCAAUAUCCCCAAUAUCGGCAGGAUCAAUGUCCACAUUAUAAUCAUCAUCUUCGUCUUCGACUUCAAGUUUGUUUUCGUGAUCAGUUUAUUUUUGUAACAAUCGAGAUGAAGUUCUUUUAUGUUUUAUUCGUAAUUUCAAUAACGAUCAGUUUCUUGAGUG